AGUGAACGCUGGCGGUAGGCCUAACACAUGCAAGUCGAACGGCAGCACAGUAAGAGCUUGCUCUUACGGGUGGCGAGUGGCGGACGGGUGAGGAAUACAUCGGAAUCUACUUUUUCGUGGGGGAUAACGUAGGGAAACUUACGCUAAUACCGCAUACGACCUACGGGUGAAAGCAGGGGAUCUUCGGACCUUGCGCGAUUGAAUGAGCCGAUGUCGGAUUAGCUAGUUGGCGGGGUAAGGGCCCACCAAGGCGACGAUCCGUAGCUGGUCUGAGAGGAUGAUCAGCCACACUGGAACUGAGACACGGUCCAGACUCCUACGGGAGGCAGCAGUGGGGAAUAUUGGACAAUGGGCGCAAGCCUGAUCCAGCCAUACCGCGUGGGUGAAGAAGGCCUUCGGGUUGUAAAGCCCUUUCGUUGGGAAAGAAAAGCAGCAGGUUAAUACCCCGCUGUUCUGACGGUACCCAAAGAAUAAGCACCGGCUAACUUCGUG
rnacentral:rRNA from 1 species